rnacentral:rRNA from 1 species
CAAGUCGAACGGAGUGUGUGGAAGGUAACGGAAGCACACUUAGUGGCGAACGGGUGAGGAAUAGAUAGGUAACGUACCCCGGACUCAGGAAUAGCGGCGUCCCGACUUGUCGGGACUUUGCGAAAGUGCCGGUAAUACCUGAUGAUACCCUUGACACGCAUGUGUCAAGGGUCAAAGGUCCGCAGGUCUGGGAGCGGCCUAUCUCCUAUCAGCUUGUUGGUGGGGUAAUGGCCUACCAAGGCGGCGACAGGUACCAGGCGUGAGAGCGCGAUCUGGCACAUCGGGACUGAGACACUGCCCGGACAUCUACGGAUGGCUGCAGCAACGAAUAUUCCGCAAUGGGCGAAAGCCUGACGGAGCGACGCCGCGUGUAGGAUGAAGCACUUCGGUGUGUAAACUACUGUCAGGGGUUAGGAAGACAGUGACCAGCCCCACAGGAAGCCUCGGCUAACUCCGUGCCAGCAGCCGCGGUAAUACGGAGGAGGCAAGCGUUGUUCGGAAUCACUGGGCUUAAAGCGUGCGUAGGCGGGAUGGCAGGUGUCGUGUGAAAGCCCUCGGCUCAACCGAGGAAUUGCUCGGCAAACGGUCAUUCUUGAGGCCAGCAGGGGGACC